GCCCGGCUAGCUCAAUCGGUAGAGCGUGAGACUCUUACGACUUCAUCGUAAUCUCAAGGUUGGGGGUUCGACCCCCCCGUUGGGCG